UACGGAGGGGCUAGCGUUGUCCGAAGUUACUGGGCGUAAAGCGCGCGUAGGCGGUUGGUAAGUCCGCUGUGAAAGCCCGGGGCUCAACUCCGGAGGGUCGGUGGAUACUGCCAGUCUUGAAGGUGCUAGGGGGAGAUGGAAUUACCGGUGUAGCGGUGAAAUGCGUAGAUAUCGGUAGGAACACCAGUGGCGAAGGCGGUCUCCUGGGGCAUUCUUGACGCUGAGGCGCGAAAGCUGGGGGAGCGAACGGG
rnacentral:rRNA from 1 species